CCGCAGAUGGCAGAACGGCGAUGCAAAGGUCUGUAAAACCUUAUAAAGUAGGUUCAACUCCUACUCUGCGGA
rnacentral:tRNA from 2 species